UUAAGCGACUAAGCGUACACGGUGGAUGCCCUGGCAGUCAGAGGCGAUGAAGGACGUGCUAAUCUGCGAUAAGCGUCGGUAAGGUGAUAUGAACCGUUAUAACCGGCGAUUUCCGAAUGGGGAAACCCAGUGUGAUUCGUCACACUAUCAUUAACUGAAUCCAUAGGUUAAUGAGGCGAACCGGGGGAACUGAAACAUCUAAGUACCCCGAGGAAAAGAAAUCAACCGAGAUUCCCCCAGUAGCGGCGAGCGAACGGGGAGCAGCCCAGAGCCUGAAUCAGUGUGUGUGUUAGUGGAAGCGUCUGGAAAGGCGCGCGAUACAGGGUGACAGCCCCGUACACAAAAAUGCACAUGCUGUGAGCUCGAUGAGUAGGGCGGGACACGUGGUAUCCUGUCUGAAUAUGGGGGGACCAUCCUCCAAGGCUAAAUACUCCUGACUGACCGAUAGUGAACCAGUACCGUGAGGGAAAGGCGAAAAGAACCCCGGCGAGGGGAGUGAAAAAGAACCUGAAACCGUGUACGUACAAGCAGUGGGAGCACGCUUAGGCGUGUGACUGCGUACCUUUUGUAUAAUGGGUCAGCGACUUAUAUUCUGUAGCAAGGUUAACCGAAUAGGGGAGCCGAAGGGAAACCGAGUCUUAACUGGGCGUUAAGUUGCAGGGUAUAGACCCGAAACCCGGUGAUCUAGCCAUGGGCAGGUUGAAGGUUGGGUAACACUAACUGGAGGACCGAACCGACUAAUGUUGAAAAAUUAGCGGAUGACUUGUGGCUGGGGGUGAAAGGCCAAUCAAACCGGGAGAUAGCUGGUUCUCCCCGAAAGCUAUUUAGGUAGCGCCUCGUGAAUUCAUCUCCGGGGGUAGAGCACUGUUUCGGCAAGGGGGUCAUCCCGACUUACCAACCCGAUGCAAACUGCGAAUACCGGAGAAUGUUAUCACGGGAGACACACGGCGGGUGCUAACGUCCGUCGUGAAGAGGGAAACAACCCAGACCGCCAGCUAAGGUCCCAAAGUCAUGGUUAAGUGGGAAACGAUGUGGGAAGGCCCAGACAGCCAGGAUGUUGGCUUAGAAGCAGCCAUCAUUUAAAGAAAGCGUAAUAGCUCACUGGUCGAGUCGGCCUGCGCGGAAGAUGUAACGGGGCUAAACCAUGCACCGAAGCUGCGGCAGCGACACUAUGUGUUGUUGGGUAGGGGAGCGUUCUGUAAGCCUGUGAAGGUGUACUGUGAGGUAUGCUGGAGGUAUCAGAAGUGCGAAUGCUGACAUAAGUAACGAUAAAGCGGGUGAAAAGCCCGCUCGCCGGAAGACCAAGGGUUCCUGUCCAACGUUAAUCGGGGCAGGGUGAGUCGACCCCUAAGGCGAGGCCGAAAGGCGUAGUCGAUGGGAAACAGGUUAAUAUUCCUGUACUUGGUGUUACUGCGAAGGGGGGACGGAGAAGGCUAUGUUGGCCGGGCGACGGUUGUCCCGGUUUAAGCGUGUAGGCUGGUUUUCCAGGCAAAUCCGGAAAAUCAAGGCUGAGGCGUGAUGACGAGGCACUACGGUGCUGAAGCAACAAAUGCCCUGCUUCCAGGAAAAGCCUCUAAGCAUCAGGUAACAUCAAAUCGUACCCCAAACCGACACAGGUGGUCAGGUAGAGAAUACCAAGGCGCUUGAGAGAACUCGGGUGAAGGAACUAGGCAAAAUGGUGCCGUAACUUCGGGAGAAGGCACGCUGAUAUGUAGGUGAAGUCCCUCGCGGAUGGAGCUGAAAUCAGUCGAAGAUACCAGCUGGCUGCAACUGUUUAUUAAAAACACAGCACUGUGCAAACACGAAAGUGGACGUAUACGGUGUGACGCCUGCCCGGUGCCGGAAGGUUAAUUGAUGGGGUCAGCGCAAGCGAAGCUCUUGAUCGAAGCCCCGGUAAACGGCGGCCGUAACUAUAACGGUCCUAAGGUAGCGAAAUUCCUUGUCGGGUAAGUUCCGACCUGCACGAAUGGCGUAAUGAUGGCCAGGCUGUCUCCACCCGAGACUCAGUGAAAUUGAACUCGCUGUGAAGAUGCAGUGUACCCGCGGCAAGACGGAAAGACCCCGUGAACCUUUACUAUAGCUUGACACUGAACAUUGAGCCUUGAUGUGUAGGAUAGGUGGGAGGCUUUGAAGUGUGGACGCCAGUCUGCAUGGAGCCGACCUUGAAAUACCACCCUUUAAUGUUUGAUGUUCUAACGUGGACCCGUAAUCCGGGUUGCGGACAGUGUCUGGUGGGUAGUUUGACUGGGGCGGUCUCCUCCUAAAGAGUAACGGAGGAGCACGAAGGUUGGCUAAUCCUGGUCGGACAUCAGGAGGUUAGUGCAAUGGCAUAAGCCAGCUUGACUGCGAGCGUGACGGCGCGAGCAGGUGCGAAAGCAGGUCAUAGUGAUCCGGUGGUUCUGAAUGGAAGGGCCAUCGCUCAACGGAUAAAAGGUACUCCGGGGAUAACAGGCUGAUACCGCCCAAGAGUUCAUAUCGACGGCGGUGUUUGGCACCUCGAUGUCGGCUCAUCACAUCCUGGGGCUGAAGUAGGUCCCAAGGGUAUGGCUGUUCGCCAUUUAAAGUGGUACGCGAGCUGGGUUUAGAACGUCGUGAGACAGUUCGGUCCCUAUCUGCCGUGGGCGCUGGAGAACUGAGGGGGGCUGCUCCUAGUACGAGAGGACCGGAGUGGACGCAUCACUGGUGUUCGGGUUGUCAUGCCAAUGGCACUGCCCGGUAGCUAAAUGCGGAAGAGAUAAGUGCUGAAAGCAUCUAAGCACGAAACUUGCCCCGAGAUGAGUUCUCCCUGACUCCUUGAG
rnacentral:rRNA from 1 species